UCGCCCUUAGAGUUUGAUUUUCGCUCAAGACGAACGCUGGCGGCGUGCUUAACACAUGCAAGUCGAACGGAGCACCCCUGAAGGAGUUUUCGGACAACGGAAGGGAAUGCUUAGUGGCGGACUGGUGAGUAACGCGUGAGGAACCUGCCUUUCGGAGGGGGACAACAGUUGGAAACGACUGCUAAUACCGCAUGAUAUAUUGAUGUCGCAUGGCAUUGAUAUCAAAGAUUUAUCGCCGAAAGAUGGCCUCGCGUCUGAUUAGCUAGUUGGUGAGGUAACGGCCCACCAAGGCGACGAUCAGUAGCCGGACUGAGAGGUUGGCCGGCCACAUUGGGACUGAGAUACGGCCCAGACUCCUACGGGAGGCAGCAGUGGGGAAUAUUGGGCAAUGGACGCAAGUCUGACCCAGCAACGCCGCGUGAAGGAAGAAGGCUUUCGGGUUGUAAACUUCUUUUAAAGGGGAAGAGCACAAGA
rnacentral:rRNA from 1 species